ensembl:snRNA U6 U6 spliceosomal RNA
GUGCUCCCUUUGGCAGCAUAUAUAUUAAAAUUGGAAUGAUACAGAGAAGAUUAGCAUGGCCCCUGUGCAAGGAUGACAUGCAAAUUCAUGAAGCAUUCCAUAUUAAA